UUCUCCUUUAAAGGCAACACUCUCAUACAAAUGUUUUAAAAUUCUUCCAUAUCCUACAUUCAAUAUCAUUUUUUGAUGUAUUAUGGAAAAAUAUUGAAAAGAAUUUUGUACCCAAAUUGACUUAUCUACUCACUCAUUCAACAAGCUUUUUAAUUCACUGAUACAUCUAUAUACAUACAUAUAUACAUUCUUUUUUUAAUGUUCAUUUCCAUCAUGGCCUAUCAUAGCUGCACUCUUUACAAUAGUUAAGAUACGAAAACACCUUAAAUGUCCACUGACAGAGGAAUGGAUACAAAAGAGGUGGCACUUAUGUACCGUGGAUUACUAAUCAGCUAUUAAAAAAAAAAGGACAAAAUACUGCCAUUUGCAGCAACAUGGAUGCAACUAGAGAUUAUAAGUGAAGUAAGCCAUUCAAAUAAUAUUUUUUGAGCACCAGCUGAGAAGCUAACAUCAGUCUAGGUGGAGAGGAUGUGCUUGUGAACUAAAACUGAGCUAAUCUCAAGCAGGUUGUUGGCAGGUGGGGGCAGCGCUGGCAAGAAACAUCAGAAACGGAUGAUGUGGUAGAGGAUGCCAUGGAAGGAAGGCAGAACAGCCCAGGGCGAGGGAGAUUUGGAAUCCCUAAGGAGAUGGGCACAGGUUACAGUUUCCAACGUGGUGGCUGGGAUAAGCUUUUAGAGAAGGUUAGAACUGAGCUAAGGCUUGAAGGAAGUCAACGCGUUAGCCUUGCUCUAUCUAGGGGAAGGCUGUUCCCAGCAGAGGGAAUUGCUAAAGAGCACCCCAGCAUGUUGGAAAAACAGCAAGGAGGCCCCCCAGCAAAGGGAAGAGAUGAACUCCGAGAGGGAUUGGGGAUCCAGAAUGUUAUGGGCUUCGUAGGUUGUUUGGGGGGCCAUGACUUUUACUCUGAGUGAAAUGGAAAAGCGUGACAAGGUUUGACACAGCCCAGCUUAGGUUUACAAAGACUGCUGUGGCUGCUGUGUUGAGAAGAGAUUACAGAGGAGCCGGAAAUGGAUCAAAAAGAUUGCCAGGAGACCAGCACAGGAACCAGGUGGGACGUCAUGGGGACUUGAACCAUUGCAGGAGAAGAGGUGAGGAGUGUUCAGAUACGAAUGCAUUUUGAAGAUGGAGCCGGUAGAAUUUUCUUAUAUUGGACUUGGGUUGAGAGAAAACUCAGCAUGCAGGAUUGAACUCUGGUUUUUAACUUGAGCAUCUGAUGUCUCCUCCAUGAGGACGAUGGGGAAAGUUGUGGGUGGAACAGUUUUGGGGAUCUGUACCUAUUGAGGUUGACAUGUCAGUUAGACGUCUGAGUGUCAAGCAGGCAGUUAGAUUAUACAAGUGAGGCGUUUGGAAGGGAAGUGUGAGCCAGAAAUAUAAAUCACUCCCAUGAAUACUUGACUACAAGCGAUUCAUCUCGUUUACAAUGGGGUAUACUUUUAAAAGCAAUCAUCGGGAGAGCACUUAGGAAUUUGUAUAAAGUGAGAACCUUUAACAUCUACAAACUGUCUCAAGUAAAGAAAAUAUUUGUGAAUUCUGAGUCUAAUAAUCAGAUGGACAUAAUAUGUUUUAUAAAUAUUAUGGGCUGAACCGUGUCUCCCCAAAAUUCCUCCAUUGAAGUUCUAACCCCCAGUAUCCUAGCCUGUGACUGUGUUUGGAAAUGGGGCCUUUAAAGAGGUAAUUAAAGUAACAUGAGGGCAUGCGGUGGGCCUUAACCCAGUAUGACUGGCGUCCUUGUAAGAGGAGGUUACAACACAGACACACGGGCAGGGACGCACGCGUGAAAACACGAGGAGAAGGCAGCCAACUGCAAGCCCAGGAGAGAGGCCUCAGAAGAAACCAGCCCUGUGGAGGCCCCGACCUGGGACUUCUAGCUUCCAGAAAUAUGAGAAAAUAAAUUUCCAUCAUAAAUGCCCAAUCUGUAGUACCUUGUUGUAUAUUAGUACAAGGACACAGCAGAUAGCUAAUUGAACUUGAAUUAAUUAUGUAGGUUUUGUAUUUUUAUAGCAGUUAUAUAUAUAUAUAUAUUUAAUUUUGCAGAGUUUUGUAAGCACUGAAGUAUGUGCAGUCUGGGCAUUUGAGGCUGAAAUGGCGCUGGGGAGGGGUGGGGGUGGGGUGGGGGAGGCACUGUGGUCAAGACAGAGAAUCCAUUAACUGAAGCCUUGGAAGUGCAGAAUUUCCUCCCGAGAGGAUGAGCUCGCCUGUUUUAUUCAACGUGUAUCUAGAGGGAGGAUAACUUUGUGUUUUCUCAUUCUGCCUUUUCACUUAUUUUUUCCUGUCUGGGUGUUGCCUUUCACAGGGAGAAACAAUGACUUUUUAACUCCACUCCUUUCAGAAGAAGGCUUAGCAUCUUUGUCUUACCGAAGGUUGAAGUUGGAGAAAUGGGCUCCCUUCCCUCCCCACCAACAUUACUCUUCCUCCAGUGAGCCCUCCAUCCUUACAAGCAGAGAAGGACCAUGUGCUGCCCACGAGCCACCUGAGCGCCGCAAGCCAGAGUAGCCCCAGGGAGCGUCUGUCACACUCAGCCACGGGUGAAUAAUGCCACUAGGAACACAGAACAGAUACUUCUUUGAGAUAAUGAUUUCCUUUCCUUUGGCUACAUACCUAGAAGUGGAAUUGCUGAAUCAUAUGACAUGCCGAGAAAAGGCCACUUGAGGUCACAGUAGGAAGGUGUCCAUCUGCAAGCCAGGAAGAAAGACCCCACCAGAAACAGAACAUGGCUUUGGACUUCUGACCUCUAGAACUGUGAGCAAACAAAUGUCUGUAGUUUAAGCCACCCGGCCUGGUAUUUUGUUAAUGUCGACCCGAGCAGACGAAUACAUCUGGAGGCACAUGGAGCCUUUCAGCUGGAGCUUCAGGACUAUGCUGUACUUGCCGCUGAAGGGGUUUCUCUGGCCACCAGUCACAGCUCUUGCCUGUACAUAAAGAAGCUACAAGGUCGGUCACCUGGUGAAAUCGCCAUGAUUCAAGCCAUCAGGACGGAUUCUCCCCAGCAUCUUGGGAUUGAAGCAGAGAGCUUGUCAAGCCUCCAGACCUCUAGGAUGGAAGAGUAGCUCAAACGAGCUCACCAGAAAGGAGGAGGCCAGUGAGAGUGUUAGAAUCUUUUUAGAAUUUUAAGGCGCCAUAGCACCCAGAGCAGCCAGGAAGUCAGAACACAUCAAAUCUUUAUUUUCAGUUCCAGUUUUGUUAACAAGGUGAGAAUCUCUUUUUCUUGCACUUUUCUCUAGGUGUAAAAUUUGUCAUGCUCCCAAAUAACCUACGAAUUUCUCCCUGCCUGUUCUGUCAUUUAAAAAGAAUUAUGUUCGUGCCUUUAUCAUAUCUUCACUGGCAUCCAGGCCAGUGAUAAGAGAACCAUAAAAAGAAUGUGAUGACUUACUUUAAAUUAAAGAAAUACUCUUCAAAAAGGUAUUUUCAAGUCACUGCAGAUAGGACCGGAUAGCCUUGUUUCAGGUACAACAAAGUGAACUCCAGGAGAAAGUGAGAUGGCCUUCAUUUGCUCUUGCCCUCACUAGAGCUGGGUUCCACCUCCCUCACCCCAUCGCUUCAUCCCUCCUGUUCUUCCCCUCCCCACAAAGGUAGGUAGGAACAGGACCCUAGACGAUAGAGUUACUCUGUGGCACAGGAGUGGUCAACAGGUUUAGACGCCACUGCAAUUUUCAUUCUCUUUUCAGUGACUAAUUCAUUUAUAUCCUUGACUGUAUAUAUUGCAGGGGUAUUCAUGCCUGGCAGCCUUUUUUGGACCAAUCAAUGAGCUGGGUCAGGCUUUUUUCUUCUUCUUUUCUCUCUUGAGGAGCCAUUACAAUUUAAUCACGUUGCUAAGAUCACAAUGAAGAACAGGCUCUUGACACACCAGUAUUAUCCAGAAGAAGCAUAUGGCAAGAAUAAGGACUUCUAUAAAUUAAGACCCAGACAGUAUACGGAUCUAGAACAAUACUAUCCAAGAAAAAUAUAAUGUGAGUCACAGAAGAAAUUUAAAAUUUCUGGUAACGUCAUUAACAACAGAAAAAGGAAACAAAUGCAAUUCAUUUUAACAUAUUUUAGUUCACAAUGCGUUUCUAAAACAUUACUAUUUCCACAUAUAUCAAUGAAACAAUGCUAAUUAAAUCUUUGUGGGUUUUUUUUUUUGCAUUAAAUCUGUGAAAUCUGG